rnacentral:rRNA from 1 species
AUACAGAGGGUGCGAGCGUUAAUCGGAAUUACUGGGCGUAAAGCGUGCGCAGGCGGUUGUGCAAGACAGGCGUGAAAUCCCCGGGCUUAACCUGGGAAUGGCGCUUGUGACCGCACGGCUGGAGUGCGGCAGAGGGGGAUGGAAUUCCGCGUGUAGCAGUGAAAUGCGUAGAUAUGCGGAGGAACACCGAUGGCGAAGGCAGUCCCCUGGGCCUGCUCUGACGCUCAUGCACGAAAGCGUGGGGAGCAAACAGGAUUAGAUACCCUGGUAGUCCACGCCCUAAACGAUGUCGACUGGUUGUUGGGCCUUAGGUGGCUCAGUAACGAAGCUAGCGCGUGAAGUCGACCGCCUGGGGAGUACGGCCGCAAGGUUGAA